rnacentral:rRNA from 1 species
UACAGAGGUCUCAAGCGUUGUUCGGAUUCAUUGGGCGUAAAGGGUGCGUAGGCGGCGCGGUAAGUCGGGUGUGAAAUCUCGGGGCUUAACUCCGAAACUGCAUUCGAUACUGCCGUGCUUGAGGACUGGAGAGGAGACUGGAAUUUACGGUGUAGCGGUGAAAUGCGUAGAUAUCGUAAGGAAGACCAGUGGCGAAGGCGGGUCUCUGGACAGUUCCUGACGCUGAGGACGAAAGGCCAGGGGAGCAAACGGG